rnacentral:rRNA from 1 species
CCCUUAGAUGUCCGGGGCCGCACGCGCGCUCCACUGAAGGAAUCAGCGUGGCUUUCUCCCUGACCCGAAAGGGUUGGGAAACCCGUUGAAUCUCCUUCGUGAUAGGGAUUGGGGCUUGAAAUUGUUCCCCAUGAACGAGGAAUUCCCAGUAAGCGCGAGUCAUAAGCUCGCGUUGAUUACGUCCCUGCCCUUUGUACACACCGCCCGUCGCUACUACCGAUUGAACGGUUUAGUGAGGGCCUCGGAUUGGUCUCGGCCCGCUCUUUACCGGGCGGCGCCGUUGGUCGAGAAGACGCUCGAACUUGAUCGUUUAGAGGAAGUAAAAGUCGUAACA